AGUGGAAUUUCUGGGUCAAAUGGUUAAGUUUUAUGUUUAACUUUUUAAGAAACUACCAAAUUGUUUUCUAAAGUGGUUGUACCAUCUGCCUUCCCACCAGCAAU
rnacentral:pre_miRNA from 1 species